rnacentral:lncRNA from 1 species
AUAGCAUUAAAAUUUUCGAUCAAACAUAUUGAUCUUGUUGUAAAUAGUAUAAAGAAUUUUCUAUCAAAAUUUUAUCUGAUUUAAAUACUUUUACACCGUUAAACUUGCAAACGAUUUACAUCAACCAUUAAAAAUUGUUGAUUUUGAACCCUUUCAAUCGCUAGAAAAAUGAUACUGAAAAAUCACAAAAAUUAUUUUCUAGAUAGUUCAAAUACGCUAAAUCAAGUCUAACAGAGCCGAUCGUCGAUCGAAAGCUCUAUCAUUGAAAACGACUUAUAUAGGAGCACGGAGGCCUUCGUGCUCCUCAUAGCACACAAGACCUACUAUACAUAUAUAUAUAUAGAGUCCGGCUAUGGUGCUUGUAAAAGAACCAAGCACUUGGUGCUUGUAAAUUUUUUACAGUUAGAUCUUUACCUUUGAUCAUUUUUACCCAUUAGAUUAUACUAUUCAACCAACCACCCACUCAAC